rnacentral:rRNA from 1 species
CCUACGGGUGGCAGCAGUGGGGAAUAUUGGGCAAUGGGCGCAAGCCUGACCCAGCAACGCCGCGUGAAGGAAGAAGGCUUUCGGGUUGUAAACUUCUUUUGUCAGGGAAGAGUAGAAGACUGUACCUGACGCAUCAUCCACGGCUAACUACGUGCCAGCCGCCGCGGUAAUACGUAGGUGGCAAGCGUUGUCCGGAUUUACUGGGUGUAAAGGGCGUGUAGCCGGGUUGACAAGUCAGAUGUGAAAUCCUGCGGCUUAACCGCAGAACUGCAUUUGAAACUGUUGAUCUUGAGUACUGGAGAGGCAGACGGAAUUCCUAGUGUAGCGGUGAAAUGCGUAGAUAUUAGGAGGAACACCAGUGGCGAAGGCGGUCUGCUGGACAGCAACUGACGGUGAGGCGCGAAAGCGUGGGGAGCAAACAGGAUUAGAUACCCCUGUAGUC